GACGAACGCUGGCGGCGUGCUUAACACAUGCAAGUCGAACGGAGAGGCGCUGCUCGUAGGGUACUGGAGUGGCGAACGGGUGAGUGACGCGUGGGUGGUCAGCCUCCCACUUCGGGAUAAGCCAGGGCAACUGGGUAUAAUACCGGAUAGGAGCUAUUUUUAGUGUGAUGGUUGGAAAGUUUUUUCGGUGUAGGAUGAGCUCGGGGGGUAUCAGCUCGUUGAGGGAGCUAUGGGCUACCAUGGCGGCUUCGGGUGGCGGGCCUGGGAGGGUGGCCGGCGACAGUGGGACUGAGGUACGGCCCAGACUCGUACGGGAGGCAGCAGUGGGGAAGAUUGCAGGAUGGGCGCAAGCCGAGUGCGGCAAGGCCGCGGUGGGGAUGACGGCCUUCGUGGUGAAGACUCCUUUCGCUAGUGACGAAGCUUUUUGUGACGGUACCUAGAUAAAAAGCAGCGGCUAACUACGUG
rnacentral:rRNA from 1 species